UCUCCGUAGGUGAACCUGCGGAGGGAUCAUUACUGAGUGAGGGUCUCCGGGCCCGACCUCCAACCCCAUGUGAACCGAAACCUGUUGCUUCGGGGGCGACCCUGCCGUCCGCGGCGUGGGGCCCCCGGAGGACACCCAACACUGCAUCCCUGCGUCGGAGUGAUUUUGUAAAUCAAAACAAAACUUUCAACAACGGAUCUCUUGGUUCUGGCAUCGAUGAAGAACGCAGC
rnacentral:misc_RNA from 1 species